GCGAGCGGGAACAUGGCUACAGAGAAACCUUGACGAGGAGAAUCAUACUGAUAUCCCACAAUCAAUGAUGGGAAACCCCAGUGGAAACAUCCCACAAUCAAUGAUGGAAAAGCCCAGUGGAAACAUCCCACAAUCAAUGAUGGAAAAACCCAGUGGAAACAAUCUCCACUCAUCAGCUCCAUGGGUCGGGACUCGGCCAGCAGGCCCGCGUGAGGGUCCCAGCGCGCCCCUUCCAGGAACAGGCCGCGGAUGUAGCAGCCUACGUCUGGACGUUCUGUCAGCUGCUCUACAGG